rnacentral:lncRNA from 1 species
AAAAUACAGUACUAAUAAAAACUCCCGUUUGACUCCUUCAAUUCAGUCUCCCUUUACUUCAAUUCCCCGUCGCCAAUGGCAAUGACCGCGCCAUAGCGCUGCCGUUCACUACCGUAAUCACCGCUCCCUUUCCUAUUUCCGCUAUUCGAAAACCAAGUUCCCGCAUUUUCGCUUCAAUGAGAAUCGAGGCUUCUGAGAAAUUCUCCUGAUUCGAUUCUCGAUCGUAGGGUGGUAUUCUUCACUUCGUCAAGUAUCAUGGACUCGGAAACGGUUUCAUAUUUGUAAGUUCUGCAUAAACUGAUGAUAUUACACUGACAAUUUGGGAUUUUUGUUUUUAAGGCAGACUGCUUUCAGGUUUUCUGCUUAACUGAAGAUAAAAAUUCUAGCUUUUGAUUUCAAAUGGCUGUUCUAAGAAAAAUAACCGUUCUUCUGUUAAACGUAGAGAAACGAUAAUCUUUCUAUAAUGAUUAAACAUAUAACUUUAAUUGGUAUGUUCUUACUUAAAUUAAGAUUGACAUUGUCAGAUUUUUUGUUUAUGAUCCAUCAAAAUGCUGAUAUUUUCAAGUUAAGCGUAAAAGUGAGUUCUUCUGUUAUUUCCCCCCUCUUAUUUUCUAGGAGUUAAGUGUACCCUUAUUAAUUUAUAUUUAUAUAUGUAAACACGAAUGAGAAUUUGUAAAUUUGUUAGGACAGGUUUAAUAUCUCAUUCUAUCCUGACAUUUUUGGUCUGUUGAUUUGGUUAGGUUGACAAUCGAGCACUGUCGAAGCCAGACAUUUUGGGAUAAAAAAAUUUAGAUGCAAUUUUUAUGAAACACUAUACUGUUAAUUAAAACAAGUCAACACAUUACUACAAUCGUAGCUAUUUUUCAAAAUUUGAAAACUUCAUAUAAUUACAUUAUCAAUACUAUCAAAUAUAUUGAUCUCAAUAUAUGUCACUAAACUAUAACUUAACCAUUGAUCUCCCAUUCGAUUACACAAUUGAUUCUAGAUAUUCUUCAUUGCCGAACAUACUAUCUCUAUCGUAGUAAUAGCAACUGGAAUAAUUAACUUCAAUGUUUUAAGUCUAUAAACUAAUGGGCACACGUCAUUUUUUUGUCACAACUAACUUUUCUGCAAGAUUACUAAGACCUAGUAACCCUUUAAAAUUUUGAUGAGUGCGUAUAUCAAUAAUAUAUAUUUGAAUUUGCUCCAAUGUCAAGAUCUCUAUUGGUUUAAAAUUUUUUAGAUAAUAUUCACACAAUUGAAUUAACUUGUCUUUACUAAAAGUAGAAAAUGAAUUAUGCGGACACAAACAUGUAACACAAAAGAGUAAGUCACUAUUUAUCUAGGCAAAAUGAUCAUUCAACUCUUGUUCAAAAAACGUAAAACAAUUUACAUUUGCUCCUUCACCAAAGCAUUACCAAUAUCAAUUGUUUGAGUUCCAUAAGCAGUAAACUUUAUUGCAAAUAAACUUUGUUCAGUUUCCAUGUACACAUGGAAAUUCUCAGACUAGGCUCUAUAUAUAUCAGGGAUUCUAAUUUUUGCAUGUUUUCAGUCUCCUUUUUAUCCGACUGUAAAGGAGAAAAUUCUGAUUUCAAAUAUUCCUUUUAAUGGCACAUAAAAUGUGAAGAAUUUAUUUUAUUUCUAGUUUUUCCUUUCAUUUGCUUACUCCUUACUAUAUUUCAUUAAAAAAUAAGGCCUUCGCGUGUAAAAUAAAUAAGUGAUCCAGUGUUCACAAAUCUGUUUUUAUCCAGGUCCUGAUGGGUUCCUUUUUCUUUUUGUUGUCACAGAUGUGUGGCAAUGAAGUUCGAUGUUUCACUAGAUUCAUAGCCGAACUUGAAAAUUUACAAGAAAAGCAGAGUUUACAUAUUGUGUUUCUCAAUUAUUUUCAAGAUUUUCUUGCACUAGCAUAUGAUUGCCUCGUAAGAAUGAACCACCUCGCUGUCUGUUAUAAUAAUUUGUAAGGUUUAAGUAUUUAACAAUUUAUAUGACAUUUGUUGUUUGGAAGUGGUUAUGAUUUAAAACUGUUUUCUCUACUUUUUGAUGAUAUGAUGUGGUUAUGUUAAUGAAGAAAUUGCAAGUGUUUUAAGAAUUUUAGGUAGUUCAA